rnacentral:rRNA from 1 species
GACAGAGGGGGCAAGCGUUGCUCGGAAUUACUGGGCGUAAAGGGCGCGUAGGCGGGAUGGCAAGUCGGUCGUGAAAUCCCUCGGCUCAACCGAGGAACGUCGAUCGAUACUGCUGUUCUUGAGGAUUGCAGAGGAGACUGGAAUUCCCGGUGUAGCGGUGAAAUGUGUAGAGAUCGGGAGGAACACCGGUGGCGAAGGCGGCGUUCUGGACUGCAACUGACACUGAGAAACGAAAGCCAGGGGAGCAAACGGG